ACUUAUAAUAGUUGUUAUGCAGUAACGCCAUGUGUAUACCUACUUGCUGGUUAGGUUAUGUUCUUUUGAGAACGAGUUUUUCUAUAUCUUUUCUAAGAUUUGGAUCUAAGUUUCAGACUGUUUUGUCAGCAAUGACUCUCACCUCUGUAACUUUCUUGGGGAUUCUAAGCCACUGAGUGAGAACAAAGUUUUUUUGAUAGAUCAGGACCCAAUUUCAUAGAGCUGCUAAGCACAAAAAUUUGCUUAGCAUUGAAAUUCUUGGCUUGACAAAAACAACAUAACCAAUCAAAUUUUCGCGUGAUUUUCAGGAUAAGCAAGCAACAGCUGAAAACCAGUAACAAGCAAUAUGCAACAAAUGGAAAUUCGGUUGGUAAUCCUAUUUUGAUCAAGGAAGAAAUUUCAUGCUAAGCAUUUCUAUGAAACUGUGCCCUGGUCACCACUAAGUUGCCUGUACAAAAUGCCACGUGUGACAAUAUCCAAAUAUAUAUACCUUUAUUAUAUGUUAUUAUAUGUAUGUAGAAUCACUCUGAAUAGUUUGAAACUGAAAGAUAUGGUUUUGUUAUUUGUUAUGAGAUGACCUGACAAAAGUUGAUGUCAGAAGUUGUUGUUCCUCACAAAUGUCCCCAAAUGGGGACCACUAUGCCCUAAAUGGUGUGGACCAAACUGGGCAACAAGUUUUGCCUAGUUGGGAUUGUUUUUCGAUAUAGUGAUCACUGAUGUCCUGACUGGGAUAAGAGGUGUUCCAAACUGGGCAACAAGUUUUGCCCAGUUUCAAACUGGGUAACAGUUGUACCUAGUUGUGAUUGUUUGGGAUUUAUGGGGACCACAGUUGCCCUGAAUGGGAUAAGAGGUGUUCCAAACUGGGCAACAAGUUUUGCCCAGUUUCAAACUGGGUAACAGUUGUACCUAGUUGUGAUUGUUUGGGAUUUAUGGGGACCACAGUUGCCCUGAAUGGGAUAAGAGGUGUUCCAAACUGGGCAACAAGUUUUGCCCAGUUUCAAACUGGGUAACAGUUGUACCUAGUUGUGAUUGUCUUGGAUAUUGGGGGACCACAGUUGCCCUGAAUGGGAUAAGAGGUUCCAAACUGGGCAACAGUUGUACCUAGUUGUGAUUGUUUGGGGACCACAGUUGCCCUGAAUGAGAUAAGAGUUGUUCCAAACUGGGCAACAGUUGUACCUAUAAUCUUAGAUAUAGAUUUUUUGGGAUAUUGUGGGACAACUGAGGGUUCCAAUCUGGGCAAUAGUUUUUUCCCAAUUAGGGAUAGUUCUGAAUACAAAUUUAGUGUAAUCCAACUAUGAUGCAUUUGUGCACUGAUUUAGUAGAUGGACCCUUAUAUUAUAUUAAACUUAUGUUCAGUCUUUCA